rnacentral:misc_RNA from 1 species
GAUGAAGAACGUAGCGAAAUGCGAUAAGUAAUGUGAAUUGCAGAAUUCAGUGAAUCAUCGAAUCUUUGAACGCACAUUGCGCCCGCCAGUAUUCUGGCGGGCAUGCCUGUUCGAGCGUCAUUUCAACCGUCAAGCCCCCGGCUUGUGUUGGGGACCUGCGGCUGCCGCAGGCCCUGAAAAGCAGUGGCGGGCUCGCUGUCACACCGAGCGUAGUAGCAUACAUCUCGCUCUGGGCGUGCUGCGGGUUCCGGCCGUUAAACCACCUUCAUAACCCAAGGUUGACCUCGGAUCAGGUAGGAAGACCCGCUGAACUUAAGCAUACCAAUAAGCGGAGGA